CAUCCAUGAAAAACGUAACGAAAUGCGAUACUUGGUGUGAAUUGCAAAAUCCCCUGAACCCUCCAGUCUUUGAACGCAAGUUGCGCCCCAAGCUAUUUGGCCGAAGGCACGCCUGCCUGGGCGUCAUGCC
rnacentral:rRNA from 1 species